UACGUAGGCAGCGAGCGUUGUUCGGAUUCACUGGGCGUAAAGGGUGCGUAGGUGGUGAGGUAAGUCGGAUGUGAAAUCUCCGAGCUCAACUCGGAAAUGGCAUUGGAAACUACCUUGCUAGAGGGUUGGAGGGGGGACUGGAAUACUUGGUGUAGCAGUGAAAUGCGUAGAUAUCAAGUGGAACACCAGUGGCGAAGGCGAGUCCCUGGACAACUCCUGACACUGAGGCACGAAAGCUAGGGGAGCAAACAGG
rnacentral:rRNA from 1 species